rnacentral:ribozyme from 1 species
CGUUCUCUACGCACUGGCAAGGAAUGGAUCCGAAGACUCUAGAAGGAUAAUAAAGGCUCUCCAUAACCUAUUCCUGCUCAGUACGUCCACGGUGUACAGAAGGGUAACAUGUCUCUGAAGGGUAAAUAACUGGUCUUGGGUAUAAUAGCAAACCCACGCCCUUGGAUGGAUGAUAUGACUAUAUCAAGAGCA